rnacentral:rRNA from 1 species
ACGCUCGACACCUACGGGNGGCAGCAGUGGGGAAUAUUGCACAAUGGGGGAAACCCUGAUGCAGCAACGCCGCGUGAGUGAAGAAGUAUUUCGGUAUGUAAAGCUCUAUCAGCAGGGAAGAUAAUGACGGUACCUGACUAAGAAGCUCCGGCUAAAUACGUGCUAGCAGCCGCGGUAAUCUGAGCGGGCUGGCAAGGC